GGUCUGAUGCCACGUCUCUGGUAGCUAUAUAUUGGACCUAAAUCAAGAGUGCUUGUCAUUUGUUUCGCAUUUUGAUAGGAAUCUGUGAAUCUUAUAUACUAUGAUUAUGCAGAGCCGAUUUUUGCGAUUACAUUU